rnacentral:rRNA from 1 species
GAUGAACGCUGGCGGCGUGCCUAACACAUGCAAGUCGAGCGAUUCUCUUCGGAGAAGAGCGGCGGACGGGUGAGUAACGCGUGGGUAACCUGCCCUGUACACACAGAUAACAUACCGAAAGGUAUGCUAAUACGAGAUAAUAUGCUUUUAUCGCAUGGUAGAAGUAUCAAAGCUCCGGCGGUACAGGAUGGACCCGCGUCUGAUUAGCUAGUUGGUAAGGUAACGGCUUACCAAGGCGACGAUCAGUAGCCGACCUGAGAGGGUGAUCGGCCACAUUGGAACUGAGACACGGUCCAAACUCCUACGGGAGGCAGCAGUGGGGAAUAUUGCUCAAUGGGCGAAAGCCUGAUGCAGCAACGCCGCGUGAGCGAUGAAGGCCUUCGGGUCGUAAAGCUCUGUCCUCAAGGAAGAUAAUGACGGUACUUGAGGAGGAAGCCCCGGCUAACUACGUGCCAGCCGCCGCCGUAA